CAAUUACUAGAGGUAGUCUCUCCAGCUACUAAAGGGUCAUCACCGUCAUCUGUUCACUAGCGAAAACUGACCAAAAGAUGUCCAAGACACGUUGGAGUGCAAGGCUUUCUCAGUUAUCUCUUAAAGUGAAGAAAAAACCACAUAAGGAACACGGGGCCUUCAUUUCUCUUGGAAAACUGAUAUCCCUAUGGACUAAUGAUAUAAGUGUGUCUGGAAAAUAUGUGAGAUACCCUUUUAGAGAUGCAGAUGAUUAAUCACAAUUUUAACUUCUUAUAAUGAUGCUUGGCACAGGAUAAGCAAAUAGAAAUUAAAUGUAGAAACCAACAACACAUGUUCACUUAUUUAAUAUGGAACUCCCAUAUUCUUGAAUAUAAACUACCACAUUAAUGAGCAAAAGUAUAACAAAAUUGAAAGAACAUAAUCAGCUUUCUUUUAGGGUAGGAAGACAGCUAUUUAGGAUUCUUCCUCACUUAUCAAUUAAAAGAACCAUGAAACUAACAAGGAGACACAAAUAUGCAAAAUCACUGAUAAUCGCAGUCAACACUUUAUAUGUACCUGGAAGGGGGAAAAAACCUUUUUAGUUCUGUUGUGGUAGGGAUAAAUUAACUGUCUCUGUCUGACAUAUGUUUUGAAUUUUAAAACUAAAUAAAAUCAGUUAGAAAGCUAAUGGAAAGAUACAUAUGUCAACUUCUACUCUGUAUCCCUAUCAAAGAUUCGUGUGAUCUUUGCCUCUAAGUAAAGCAGCAUAGCAGCCACGGAUCUCACAUGGGAAAGUUCUUUCAGAUUAGAACAGAGAUAUCCCUUUCUCAUACCUCUACCUCACACUCUCUCAUCCCACAAAAUCUUAACUUUGGGAGGGACUUUAACAUGAAUAUUCAUGCUCUGAU
rnacentral:lncRNA from 1 species